rnacentral:misc_RNA from 1 species
AACUUUUGGCAACGGAUCACUUGGCUCUCGCAUCGAUGAAGAACGCAGCGAAANNNGANNNGUAAUGUGAAUUGCAGAAUUCAGUGAAUCAUCGAAUCUUUGAACGCACCUUGAACCCUUUGGCAUUCCGAAGGGUAUGCUCGUUUGAGUGUCAUUGUACUCUCACACUCCCGAUGCUUUUGGAUCGGGGGAAGUGGACUUGGGCGUUGCAACUUUACUGUGGCUCGCCUCAAAUGUAGUAGUGCAACUCUUGGUUGGAAAUAGUACGGCGUGAUAAGUGUCUUCGCCGGCGCCUCACUAGAGGGUGGCUGAUCGGGAGCGCUGUGCUUCAAUCCGUCUUCGGACAACUCUGACAACUUGACCUCAAAUAUAGUAGGACUACCCGCUAAACUUAAGCAUAUCAAUAAGCGGAGGCU